rnacentral:misc_RNA from 1 species
AAACCCAAACCCAAACCCAAACCCUUACACAAAAACCAGAAGGGGAUUUGAAGGUUAACACCAUGAUAUAGGUUGUGUAUAACUUUUUGUUUUUACUAGUCAAAAACCCAAAAAGGAUAAAAGAAACAAAACCAAAAAUUUCAUGGCUAGUCUUCAAUAACUGAUGCCAAACCAGUUACAAUCUUAAGAUUUCUAGCCCCAACCGAUGAGCUUUUAGGCUUAAGCUCCGGAGGCUUCCAUUCUUUUACAACUGCAGCAGUCUCAAACUCUCCCAACCCAUUACGAUCCACCGAUUUCUCAGCAUCGGGACGGAGAUUGGUUUGCAAGUUUUCAACAGUAUGCUUUGACUCAGGAUCUGGGCUUAAAAUCGACAAGGAGGUCGCACGAAUAUGAGGAGAGAGCCACUUCGCUUUUACAUACUCGGCUUUUCUCCAUGGCGGAACAGGCAUCCCCUUCUUUCUUAAGCUCUGUUUUGCAGCCUCUGAUACGACCGAUACGAUCCUCUGAAGCCGACAAGGGUUGCCGACGAAGAUGUAAGGAAUGAGUUGGAGGAUCGAUUUGUAGCUUUUGGUUGACCGUGCAAUUUCAAACUCUGAUCGAAAGUCGAUGUCUAUCAAUAAACGUUCUCCUUCAAUAAUCACAUCAACGUAUUCGUAAUCCCCGGCCGGAUAUGUAGGCGACUUUUCCCAGUGAGAUUUGCAGAUGGAAGCGUCGUAUCCAAGAGCCAACAACCCAUUAGUAACAAUCUCCCUUGCUAAGUUGUCUUUACGUUUGCAGACCUUGUUCUUCUCUACGAUCCUGGCCGUAUCCGCUAAUAAAUUCCUCUCAUGAACACUCGUACAAGGAAUUAAGCUCUUCAGAAGUUCCCAUGCCUCACCACCGGAAGAAAAAUUGGAAUCGCCAAAACCACUAUGUGGAUCCAAAUCCUCUUCGGAGCUGUCCGUAUAGUUUCCAUUGAAGCAGUUGCAGCGACUGCGG